UGGGGAAUAUUGCACAAUGGGCGCAAGCCUGAUGCCGCCAUGCCGCGUGUGUGAAGAAGGCCUUCGGGUUGUAAAGCACUUUCAGCGGGGAGGAAGGCGAUCAGGUUAAUAACCUUGUCGAUUGACGUUACCCGCAGAAGAAGCACCGGCUAACUCCGUGCCAGCAGCCGCGGUAAUACGGAGGGUGCACGCGUUAAUCGGAAUUACUGGGCGUAAAGCGCACGCAGGCGGUCUGUCAAGUCGGAUGUGAAAUCCCCGGGCUUAACCUGGGAACUGCAUUCGAAACUGGCAGGCUAGAGUCUUGUAGAGGGGGGUAGAAUUCCAGGUGUAGCGGUGAAAUGCGUAGAGAUCUGGAGGAAUACCGGUGGCGAAGGCGGCCCCCUGGACAAAGACUGACGCUCAGGUGCGAAAGCGUGGGGAGCAAACAGG
rnacentral:rRNA from 1 species